rnacentral:tRNA from 1 species
GGUAUUAUAUUUUAUAAAGAAAAUAUGAUUUGCAAUCAUAAAGUAAGAUUUAUUAUCUUUAAUUCCU